CAUUAGAUAACUUAAAGUAAGUAUCGGCCUCUUAAGCCAUAACAUAAUAAUUGACACCUAUUUCUAAUGA
rnacentral:tRNA from 1 species